GGCGGGUGUGAGUCUGCGCGGGGCUGGAGCGGCCCUCUUGCAGUAAGAUGGCGGCCGGUGUCGGGGUGCAUAUGCAGCUGAUUUGCAUUGAUGAAGAUUGUCAGAAUGAAUGAAUCUGAAAGUAAUAAUGGACUAUGAGAAAUUGAAUAAACUGAUCUGUCCUGGAAACGGAAAGCUGUAGCAAAUGUUACUUUGGCGUAUAUGAGGGUGCACAUGCAGCUGAUUUGCAUUGAUGAAGAUUGUCAGAAUGAAUGAAUCUGAAAGUAAUACUGGACCAUGAGAAAUUGAAUAAACUGAUCUGUCCUGGAAACGGAAAGCUGUAGCAAAUGUUACUUUGGAGUAUAUGAGAGGUCAAAUACAUUAGAUGGACUAACAAAGAGCUGCCAUUAUACCGGGUCUUGAAAUUUUCGAGAUCAAUAUGAGGUACUCAAACACAUCAGAUGGAGUAGCAAAGAGCUGCCAUAAUGCCGUGUCUUGAAACUUUUGAGACCAAUAUGAGGAGGUGAAUAAAGUAGACCAGGAACAAGUAAAUGCAAGUUUAUGGAAAACAGUUGCAGGAAGAUGGUAUGAAAAUAUAUUCGAGUUCAAAAUCCCUUUCUUCAAAUUCCUCUACAGUCUUGCCCCACCGUACCUCAGACUGUACCAACCCAUUCAUUCAGUGGGCACCAGCUUGCUUCAUGCUCGCUACCCGAACGUUGGCAGUCGGGCUCUCAGCCUAUCUCACUCCCUAGUCUGGAACUCCAUACCGGAAUCCCUCCCGACUCCCACGCUCACCUCUUGAAAAGUCAGUCAAAACCUUCCUCUUUGACCAAACCUUCAGUCAUCUCUCUCUUCCCUCCCCCCCCGACUCCCACUCCAGCUUGGGUGCCAGCCAGGACUGUCGAGUGCCUUGGGACAUCCUCCCAACAUGAAAGGUGCUAUGUAAAUUUGUAUUGUAUUCUACACAUUUAUAAAAUAGAAAGGAACCUAUUGAUCCACCUGUCCAGUUUUGCAAAUGUUAAAUUACUACUGUUUACAAUAAAUGGGAUGGAUUACCACAAAUGUG